rnacentral:lncRNA from 1 species
GCAUGGUCUUCAUCUUCAGUUUCAGCUCUCACGAAAAAAGUGAACUUCUCAAAUUCUCAGUAGUCAGUGAUUUCAACCAUAUCUUAAAUCCUUUGAGGUAUUUUAUCUCUGUAAUUCGCAUCGUCGUUUGAAGUCAUAUUACAUUAAGGUGUUAUCUGUUUAAUACUGUGUUCUACGAGAGCCCCUAAAGAUGGCCUUACAGCAAGCAUAGCACUCAUUGUCAGUCUCCUAAGUUCUAAUUUCCCCCAAUCGUUUUGUGUAUUGAGUACUCGUGAAUAAAACUGAUGCUAAUCCCUCUCUUCACUUCAGCACCUACGAGACGUUUGUAAAAAAGUCGUGUGUGAGUAAUGCAAGGUCGCAGUGGAGACCAUCAUUAUUUCUGCCUCCACUUUUGUACCUUUGGAGAUGGAUGGCAGUGAGUGCUACAAAUCUCCGGUGGUGAAUCAUGAUGACUCAUUGAACCUAGAAGGCAUACAAAAUAGAAUCAUUGAAGACAAAUCAAGUCCUAUAGUUGCCAGUAGUCAGCCUUUCUACACCAGUACAGAUAAGAGUAAAAAGACUGCCUAUGCAAACAGCAAUUCGCUCCUGGAUAGGACGGCUGAGUUUCUCACCUGCUCAGACUCAAGUAAAACUUGGAAUGAGUCUACACCAUCCCGAGAGUCAAAUGUAUCUGCAGAUCUCGAUGCUGGUUUUAGCCCCAUUCGAUCAAAUGAGCAGACUAUUCCAACAUCUUUAGAUCAGCUUAUAGAUCCUCAUAAUCUUGAAUGGACGUCGUCAUUAGCCUCUCCUGUUUGUCAGAGAACCUCCGAGUCUGUACUGAAAACUGCCGAAAAACAAGUGUUUUGUCCGAGCAAUAACUCCAGAUUUGUUGUCAGCACCAAUUCCUCAGUAAGUAAAGUCACUGUUCAAGAGGCGGUUCAGUUUCAAAAGUGCCGUACUUUGAAAUAUUACUCACAUUUUCUUGAAAACAUGAACUUAAAAAUGUUUUAGAAUAAUGACCAAGGAGAGGCAUUCGUUAGCUCCAAUGACUUUGAGAGGGGUUUGAUGUCAAACAAGCCCUUUAACUCUUUUGACCGUAUCUUUUUAUCCAACAUAAGUUACCCUCAAAAUGCAAUGGCAAGGCGUGAAUCAUCGAACAUUUGAAGCUGUGGUGAAGAGUCAAUUAUUUGGGUAUUUGUUAUAAACACCCUAUUAUUUAAUUCUUCUCUGUAAUUUUAAAUGGCAGAUUAGUCGACUCAUUGACAUGCAUGCCUCAAAGAAACAGAACUGAAUGUUAAUAUGAACUGCCAAUUGAAGGCCACAAAACAGAACAGAGCAAUAUUUCUAUUCGGCCUUGAUAAAAAGAGUCUACAAGCUGAUUGUUGAAAUUAAUAAACAAAGCGAUAGACAAAGAAAACAUAAGGAGUAUAGAACGAUCCUAUUGGUUGAAAUGGGCGGUUCUCAUAGACUAAAGUAGUAAAUGAUGGACUAACCAUCGGACCCCUUCAUGGGUUGCCGUUGGUUGGUCUAUUACCAACGUCCCGUUGUCCAUUGCAACCACCCGCUUCCACCUCUAGGAUCCCUCCAUAUCCUUUUUGUCUUCUUUUUCUAUCGCUUUGUCUAUCAAUUUCAACAAUCAGCCCGUUGGAUGGUUGCCUUGGGCUGAAAGAUGGGCUUUUUUUUUUAAAGCGACCUUGUCAGAAAAUGCAGAAGUAAUGAGCAUAGCAAAAUAUUCAACAAGAAACAAUAAAGAUGUAAAAAAAUUAAGAAAGGUAACAAAAGUAAGUAAAAUAAAACCAAUGAAAUAAAAAAUAUGCUAAUUAGAGAAAAAAAUUCAAGUGGCUCCAGGAGCCAAGGUCGCGCCGUAAUUACCAUGUGGUAUACCAACGGCGGAAAGAAGGGCUUUUCCUUGAAAUUUUGCAGGAAGAUCUGCCGGACCUUCCGGCUGGCUCUCAUACGAACUAUUAAUAUAAUAGUGUAAAUAGAACUUUAGCAUUUACAGACAAAGAGUAGAACUUACCAACUAUUGACAUUAUUUACAACUAUAUUCAUAGUGGCUAGAGGUUGAAAUUGACAUAAUUCACAACAAUAUCUAUACUGGUGAGAGGUUUGCAAUGACCAGGGCCAAAAGGGAAAUUUGUUUUUUCCAAUAACUCUUACUCAGCUCAACUGAAACUCUAAAACUGUCAAAAUAUCCUUUUUUCUUUUUCAACUCAUCAUUUUUCAGUGGAAACUUUUUUGGUAAUAUGUUGCUGUAAAAUGUUUCUGUUACAGAGAUAUAUAGAUAAGAAGGUAAAGGAGAAUAUAUACUGUCAGUUUGCUCAUUUUCACCCUAUAAAAGUCGUUUUCACUUCAUUUAAAUUUUUUUAUAAUUUUUGUUUUCCAAAUAUUUUUGAAUGUCCUGAGUUUUUUUAAAAAUUUCAGAAGUUCUAAGAAUUUUUAAUUUCUCAAUUUCAAUUUUUUAAUAUUUUUCAAUAAUUUUGAUGAAAAAAUAUUUUAAGUCCAUGAAUGAUUUUAAUGGAGGAAUGACAGUUAAAUCUAGCUAAACAAGCGCUUAUUAAACACUUUUCAGAGUUUUCUCCAGUAGUAAAAAUCAUUAAAUUUCAAGAAUAACUCUUCUUAUCAUUUUUGUAAUACAUUUAUGAUGAAGAUUCCUCAUUUAAAUAAAACUAAUUUUUUUGCAGAGAGCUUGCGAAUCAGACUCAACCCUCGAUGAGUCCAAAAAAUCUGAUUCAUUUCUUUCAAAAUCUGACGCCAUUUUAGAAGCAAUGACAGUAUUCUCCCUCCCAACAGAACUCUCAACUCGGAAGAAAUUAAUCUGAAGAAGCAUUCAUCUUUGUUUGAGAGGACAUCUCAGCUGUAUAUCAACCAAGACGAUCGCAAUACUGAGAUCUUUGAAACUAGUCUACUUCCAAACAUUGAUCCAACUCAAGACCCAAUGAACUCCGACGAAAAUUCAACCUCUCCCGUUCUUACGCAGAGUAAACAAAAAACCUCUUCAUGUAGUAAAAAAAGUUAUCGCAAGGAGGACAUCAAGAAUAAGUUGCCUCAAAUGUUGUUAAAUGCUUGUUCAAGCAAAUAACAACAGAAACAAAAGAGAAAAAAAUUGAAGCUGAGAAACCGGCUGCUGAUGAUAAACUAGCUGCUGAAGAUAAACCGUCUGCUGAAGAUAAACCAGUUGUUGAAGAUAAACCAGCUGUUGAAGAUAAACCAGUCGUUGAAGAUAUCUGUUUAGCUUCGAAAAGUAAUUUUUCACAAUUUUGUCAGUACAGCACUCAAGAUUUCUCAAUCAACACUGUCGACCAGAUUGUUUUGCAACAGAGAUCAUUGACUCACCACUUUCUCCUGAGCUGUGUGUUUCUCAAGGCAGAAAUAAAAAUCAAAUCAAACCUUCUUGGUGCUCGCAGAAAAUUUUUAAUCAAUCAAUUAUCGAUGCCAUUGAAAAUCUUGACUCGUCGCAAAAAGGAGAGAGUUCAUAUUCAAAAAGUGAUGAAUUUCUAGUCCCAUCAAUUCCAGCAGUAAUGUCUAGUAAAGCCAAAGUGAGUGAUGAUUUAACUCUGGAAAUGAUGAAAGUGAACGCUGUGUCAACAAAAUCAAAAUUGAAGAAACUUAUUUAUCUUAUCAAUGAUAGUCCCUGCACUCAAGCAUUAGAUAUCAACACUUGCUCAGACAUUAUUCUAAAGAAUGCAUUUGUUUUUGAAGAAGACCCUUCUUGUGUAAAAAGUGGAAAAUUAUCUCAAAAGUCUCAAAAGGCAAAUAAUCCAGGAGGAUUUGUCCCUUCUCAAAUUUGGUUGACUCGUCAAGCAAACCUUGUAGAAUACUGACUAAUUGCGUUUCCAAAGCUUCUCAAAAAGUUCACCUGGAAGUGCUUUUAAGAGCCCCAGUAAUGAGACGAGUCUAUAUUUGUUAAAGAAUAUAGAUCAUAACAAGGAAGAUCUCU